GGGGGUACAGCCCAGCAGUAGAGCACACGCUUAGCAUGCGCAAGGUCCUGGGUUUGAUGCCCAGUACUUCCA
rnacentral:tRNA from 1 species